rnacentral:rRNA from 1 species
UACGGAGGGUGCUAGCGUUAAUCGGAAUUACUGGGCGUAAAGCGUCUGUAGGUGGUGAUGCAAGUCACUGGUGCAAAACUCUGGCUCAACCGGAGGAAAGCCAGUGAAACUGCAUGACUAGAGUGUGGGAGAGGUAGAAGGAAUUCCCUGAGUAGCGGUGAAAUGCGUAGAUACAGGGAAGAACACCGGAGGCGAAAGCGUUCUACUGGAACACAACUGACACUGAGAGACGAAAGCUAGGGGAGCGAAUGGG